CGUGAAGAGGGAAACAACCCAGACCGCCAGCUAAGGUCCCAAAGUCAUGGUUAAGUGGGAAACGAUGUGGGAAGGCCCAGACAGCCAGGAUGUUGGCUUAGAAGCAGCCAUCAUUUAAAGAAAGCGUAAUAGCUCACUGGUCGAGUCGGCCUGCGCGGAAGAUGUAACGGGGCUAAACCAUGCACCGAAGCUGCGGCAGCGACACUGUGUGUUGUUGGGUAGGGGAGCGUUCUGUAAGCCUGUGAAGGUGUGUCGUGAGGCAUGCUGGAGGUAUCAGAAGUGCGAAUGCUGACAUAAGUAACGAUAAAGCGGGUGAAAAGCCCGCUCGCCGGAAGACCAAGGGUUCCUGUCCAACGUUAAUCGGGGCAGGGUGAGUCGACCCCUAAGGCGAGGCCGAAAGGCGUAGUCGAUGGGAAACGGGUUAAUAUUCCCGUACUUGGUGUUACUGCGAAGGGGGGACGGAGAAGGCUAUGUUGGCCGGGCGACGGUUGUCCCGGUUUAAGCGUGUAGGUGUGUGUUCCAGGUAAAUCCGGUUCACUUUAACACUGAGGCGUGACGACGAGGCACUACGGUGCUGAAGCAACAAAUGCCCUGCUUCCAGGAAAAGCCUCUAAGCAUCAGGUAACAUCAAAUCGUACCCCAAACCGACACAGGUGGUCAGGUAGAGAAUACCAAGGCGCUUGAGAGAACUCGGGUGAAGGAACUAGGCAAAAUGGUGCCGUAACUUCGGGAGAAGGCACGCUGACACGUAGGUGAAGUGAUUUACUCAUGGAGCUGAAGUCAGUCGAAGAUACCAGCUGGCUGCAACUGUUUAUUAAAAACACAGCACUGUGCAAACACGAAAGUGGACGUAUACGGUGUGACGCCUGCCCGGUGCCGGAAGGUUAAUUGAUGGGGUCAGCGCAAGCGAAGCUCCUGAUCGAAGCCCCGGUAAACGGCGGCCGUAACUAUAACGGUCCUAAGGUAGCGAAAUUCCUUGUCGGGUAAGUUCCGACCUGCACGAAUGGCGUAAUGAUGGCCAGGCUGUCUCCACCCGAGACUCAGUGAAAUUGAACUCGCUGUGAAGAUGCAGUGUACCCGCGGCAAGACGGAAAGACCCCGUGAACCUUUACUAUAGCUUGACACUGAACAUUGAGCCUUGAUGUGUAGGAUAGGUGGGAGGCUUUGAAGUGUGGACGCCAGUCUGCAUGGAGCCGACCUUGAAAUACCACCCUUUAAUGUUUGAUGUUCUAACGUGGACCCGUUACCCGGGUUGCGGACAGUGUCUGGUGGGUAGUUUGACUGGGGCGGUCUCCUCC
rnacentral:rRNA from 1 species